AUUGAACGCUGGCGGCAUGCCUUACACAUGCAAGUCGAACGGCAGCACGGGUGCUUGCACCUGGUGGCGAGUGGCGAACGGGUGAGUAAUACAUCGGAACGUACCUUAUCGUGGGGGAUAACGCAGCGAAAGUUGCGCUAAUACCGCAUACGCCCUGAGGGGGAAAGCGGGGGACCGUAAGGCCUCGCACGAUUAGAGCGGCCGAUGUCCGAUUAGCUUGUUGGUGAGGUAAAAGCUCACCAAGGCGAUGAUCAGUAGCUGGACUGAGAGGACGAUCAGCCACACUGGGACUGAGACACGGCCCAGACUCCUACGGGAGGCAGCAGUGGGGAAUUCUGGACAAUGGGGGCAACCCUGAUCCAGCAAUGCCGCGUGAGUGAAGAAGGCCUUCGGGUUGUAAAGCUCUUUUGUCAGGGAAGAAACAGCAGCUCUAACACAGUCUGCGAAUGACGGUACCUGAAGAAUAAGCACCGGCUAACUACGUGCCAGCAGCCGCCGUAA
rnacentral:rRNA from 1 species